rnacentral:rRNA from 1 species
AGAGUCACGGAAGGAACGUUUAAGACGAAGACGUGGAUAGGCUGGGUGUGUAAGCGCAGCGAUGCGUUGAGCUGACCAGUACUAAUGAACCGAGCGGCUUAACCUUACAACGCCGAAGGGGUUUUG